GCUCGAGUGGCGAACGGGUGAGUAACGCGUGAGUAACCUGCCCUUGACUUUGGGAUAACUUCAGGAAACUGGGGCUAAUACCGGAUAGGAGCUCCUGCUGCAUGGUGGGGGUUGGAAAGUUUCGGCGGUUGGGGAUGGACUCGCGGCUUAUCAGCUUGUUGGUGGGGUGGUGGCUUACCAAGGCUUUGACGGGUAGCCGGCCUGAGAGGGUGACCGGCCACAUUGGGACUGAGAUACGGCCCAG
rnacentral:rRNA from 1 species